UACGUAGGGUGCGAGCGUUAAUCGGAAUUACUGGGCGUAAAGGGUGCGCAGGCGGUUGUGAAAGUUAGGAGUGAAAGUCCCGAGCUUAACUUGGGGAUUGCUUUUAAUACUACAUAACUAGAGUUAGUCAGAGGGGGGUAGAAGUCCAAGUGCAGCAGUGAAAUGCGUAGAUAUUUGGAGGAAUACCGAUGGCGAAGGCAGCCCCCUGGGACGUAACUGACGCUCAGGCACGAAAGCGUGGGUAGCAAACAGG
rnacentral:rRNA from 1 species